CAUGCAAGUCGAACGGCACCCACCCUCGGGUGGAAGCGAGUGGCGAACGGCUGAGUAACACGUGGAGAACCUGCCCCCUCCCCCGGGAUAGCCGCCCGAAAGGACGGGUAAUACCGGAUACCCCGGGGUGCCGCAUGGCACCCCGGCUAAAGCCCCGACGGGAGGGGAUGGCUCCGCGGCCCAUCAGGUAGACGGCGGGGUGACGGCCCACCGUGCCGACAACGGGUAGCCGGGUUGAGAGACCGACCGGCCAGAUUGGGACUGAGACACGGCCCAGACUCCUACGGGAGGCAGCAGUGGGGAAUCUUGCGCAAUGGGGGGAACCCUGACGCAGCGACGCCGCGUGCGGGACGGAGGCCUUCGGGUCGUAAACCGCUUUCAGCAGGGAAGAGUCAAGACUGUACCUGCAGAAGAAGCCCCGGCUAACUACGUGCCAGCAGCCGCGGUAAUACGUAGGGGGCGAGCGUUAUCCGGAUUCAUUGGGCGUAAAGCGCGCGUAGGCGGCCCGGCAGGCCGGGGGUCGAAGCGGGGGGCUCAACCCCCCGAAGCCCCCGGAACCUCCGCGGCUUGGGUCCGGUAGGGGAGGGUGGAACACCCGGUGUAGCGGUGGAAUGCGCAGAUAUCGGGUGGAACACCGGUGGCGAAGGCGGCCCUCUGGGCCGAGACCGACGCUGAGGCGCGAAAGCUGGGGGAGCG
rnacentral:rRNA from 1 species